UUUUUUUUAAUAGUCUCACAGGUAUGUAUUUUACACAGUUUUUUUUUCCCUUCUCCCUUGUUUCCAUCAACGAUUGAGUCCAGGUUCUCGAUAGUCAUAGUCGAUAAAACAUCGAGCUACACAUGUAUUUACUCACUUAUAUUUACAAAAUCUAUAAAUUUGUCUGAAUUUGAUAGUUGAGUCACAUUUUCGCCACAUAGAUUAAAGGCCUAAAUUGAUGCCUCGAUUUGAAGCUGGUUAAAUACAGUUUGCAUUCGUACUGCAAACACAUUUCGUAAUAUCUGAGCACAAGGUUCGUCCAGGCAGUGGCUGUCAUUGUUCCAUUGUGUACGCAUUUGAGCUAAUGAGUUGUGCAGAAUUUGAAUUGGAGUUGGCUGCUUAAGAGAUGCCUUAACAGUGCCUAUACAAAAUACAAUUUGGGUAUGCGUGUGGCUUAAGAAAUCAAAAAGGAUUACCUGCAACAGCAACAGGUUGCCCAGGACUCAGGACCCAGAACCCAGGAUCUCAGCUACUGAUUGGUUGUUUGUGGGCGGACUUGCUGAGCUGGUCUGUCAGCUUGGCUGUCGGCCUUUUCUUCAGCCAGGACUAAAUUAAAAGCAAAUGAAAUAACCUUCAUCUGGUUAAUAUAGAGAGCUCUCGGCUUUUGUGACCUGCGUCCAUUGUUGAACAUCACAAAGCGCCCAAAGAUGGCCGCUGGCUCAAAACCCAAACAAAAACACGCAACGCUCCCAAUUCAACAAACUGUUUGAUGAGCUUUUGGGCUAAAUAGUGUAAUAGUAUGAUUUUCUUCGUUGAUUUAACUUAUG